GAAAUGCGAUACGUAGUGUGAAUUGCAGAAUUCAGUGAAUCAUCGAAUCUUUGAACGCACAUUGCGCCCUUUGGUAUUCCAAAGGGCAUGCCUGUUCGAGCGUCAUUUGUACCCUCAAGCUUUGCUUGGUGUUGGGCGUUUUUUGUCUUUGGUUGCCAAAGACUCGCCUUAAAAGGAUUGGCAGCCGACCUACUGGUUUCGCAGCGCAGCACAUUUUUGCGCUUGCAAUCAGCAAAAGAGGACGGCAAUCCAUCAAGACUCCUUCUCACGUUUGACCUCGGAUCAGGUAGGGAUACCCGCUGAACUUAAGC
rnacentral:misc_RNA from 1 species